rnacentral:lncRNA from 1 species
UAUGUUAUAAACAUGUUAUUGUGUGAUUUAUGGUUGAAAGUAAGUAAGAGAGGUGCUAUUUUGGUGAGAAAAAUUGAAGAGAGCUUGCUGGACAUUUUCAGUCUGAAUCGUAGGAUGUGAGUUGUGUUUUUUAGCUUGUGGGUUCCAUUUUUGUUGAGAUUUUUCUACGAGAUUCAUGCUUUAUAGAUACUUAAUGAUAUACUACACGAUUUAUGCAUAAAUCAAGAAGGAAAGUUGCAAUUUAACCAUGAUUCAGGGCAACAACACGUAUGUAACCUAUUAUGGAAAUAUACAAACAAGAGAAAAAAACGAAUUAUAGAAAUAUCUUUUGACUGUUGGAAGGUUUCUCUUGUAUGUGUUGUCCGGAAAGAGGAGGCCCUUGCCUCUUCUUCUUGGCAUGCUUUCUUGCUUUCAAGAGUUUCAUUGGGUGGCCUUUUCGCUCCUUAAGAACUCAAGAACUUUGGAGCUAACUUGAUUAAGACAUUAGGUCGAUGGUUCUCUUCUUCCUUCACUGGUUCGGUUCAAACUGGAAACUUUCCAGCUACAAACAGGUUACUUCCAUCAGUUUCUACCUCUAUUUAACUUCAAAUCAAACAUAUAUCCACAUCUCUUUAAAGUGUAAGGAAAGAUUGAAGUUUCUCAGCCAUAUUACCUUAUUUUUCUGCUCCAAAUCAAGCUGGAAGUUGGCUCACCUUCCUGAUUUCUCCUUGGUUCAAGCAAGUUGGAUGGACAGCUUCCUCUUGACUAGAAAUGGAGACAAGACACUCUAAUUUCUCUCAAAACUCUAUAUUCUCUUGGUUGGAAAAAUAAAGAACAAAGGUUUCUCAACUCUCCUCUCUCUCUCGGCUGAAACAAUGAAAUGGAGGAGGAAGACUCAAGCACUUUUUCUCUCGGCUGUUUAAAAGGAAAAGAAAUAAAGUUGGUUCUCUCUCUCUCUCUCUCUCACGAAUGUAAAUGGUCAAGGCAAGAAAGUGUUGGUUUGAAAACUUUUGUCUUGGUCAAAUUUGUCAUGCCACAUUGGAUAAGUGUCAUGCCAUUUAGGAAAACUUUUGUCUUGGUCAAGGUUGGAUAGAUGAUUGACAAGUGGCAAAACAAGAAGUAAUACCUAUCUAAUUGUCUCUAAUUUAUCAAAAUAUCUAGUUCUCCUCCAAUUAUCUCUUAACAC